rnacentral:rRNA from 1 species
GACGAGGGGUCCAAGCGUUGUUCGGAAUCAUUGGGCGUAAAGCGGGUGUAGGCGGCUCUAUAAGUCAGAAGUGAAAGCCCCGAGCUUAACUUGGGAAGUGCUUUUGAUACUGCAGAGCUUGAAUGUGGGAGAGGGUAGUGGAAUUCCGGGUGUAGUGGUGAAAUGCGUAGAUAUCCGGAGGAACACCAGUGGCGAAGGCGGCAUCCUGGACCAACACUGACGCUGAGGAGCGAAAGCCAGGGGAGCAAACGGG